ACGCGGGGGCGGCCCUUCCCUUCCCCGCGCGCCAGCCGGACCGAGCCGGGCCGCUCCCCCCGCACGGCCGGGUGGACGCCGUUCCUGAGCCCCGGAGAGCUUCUCCCAUGAGAGAUAGGGAAGCUGGCCAGAACCCUGCAUACUGAACCCAAAUAGAUUCAGAAGAAUCCCUUCUCACUUCCAUCAGUUCAUCUGUGUUAACAAUUUCUUCAUGAAAGCCACAAAGGCUUGCUACCAGCAGCAAACACACUGGACCUUGAAUACAUGUUCAACCAGAGAAUCAAGAAUUUUAAGUUUCUUAGUGGCUUGAAUUUACUAUGGUAUCUUCAUUAAUACACAUCUGCCUUACAAACAACUUCAGUGUGCCUCUUAGUCUCAUUUAUAGGGAAUGUCUCAUAUGCAAAUUAGUAGCCACAGUUCAACGAUUUAGGAACCCAAGAGAACUACGUAGAUGAUGAUGCUGAGAUCUCUCCUCUAAAGGAACUUUAAAAAGUUAAGUUUGGUUAUUUGGGUAACGAAAUACGAGAUAAAGGGAAGUGAAUCUACGUAAAAGCAUUCCACUAUUAUGUGAAAGAGAAAUAAUAGAAGAUCCCAGUUUUGCAGCCCCCCGUGAAUCAGUAGAUGUAGGCGUUGUACAUCAAUGUUUUCAAAGAUCAGAGAGAGAACUGGACAUUCUUUACCUCUUGAGGGGCAGCCAUGCCACCACCUAAAAUACCACUGAUAGAAUCAAACCCCAAUCUCACCAAGACUUGCCAUCCACCAGCCAGUGUGUAGGAAACACAGGGAGAGAGGAACAUGCUGAACUGCACCAUGAACAUGCAGUUUGCAAAGUCCUGCCUAUGGAAGACUGCUGGUCUACAGGCCUCUCUUUAAAAGACAAACUGUAAA